rnacentral:rRNA from 1 species
GAGCAGGUGCGAAAGCAGGUCAUAGUGAUCCGGUGGUUCUGAAUGGAAGGGCCAUCGCUCAACGGAUAAAAGGUACUCCGGGGAUAACAGGCUGAUACCGCCCAAGAGUUCAUAUCGACGGCGGUGUUUGGCACCUCGAUGUCGGCUCAUCACAUCCUGGGGCUGAAGUAGGUCCCAAGGGUAUGGCUGUUCGCCAUUUAAAGUGGUACGCGAGCUGGGUUUAGAACGUCGUGAGACAGUUCGGUCCCUAUCUGCCGUGGGCGCUGGAGAACUGAGGGGGGCUGCUCCUAGUACGAGAGGACCGGAGUGGACGCAUCACUGGUGUUCGGGUUGUCAUGCCAAUGGCACUGCCCGGUAGCUAAAUGCGGAAGAGAUAAGUGCUGAAAGCAUCUAAGCACGAAACUUGCCCCGAGAUGAGUUCUCCCUGAGACUUAAAGUCUCCUGAAGGAACGUUGAAGACG